CCAAUAGCGUAUAUUAAGGUUGCUGCGGUUAAAAAGCUCGUAGUUGAAUUUCGGGAUUGAUGCAUCGGUCGUGCCUUAAGGGGUAUGAACUGGUGUGGUCAAUUUCUUACCUUCUGGUGAAUUGUGAUGCCCUCCUUAAUUGGGUGUUUCAAUGAACUAGGACUUUUUACUUUGAAAAAAUUAGAGUGUUUAAAGCAGGC
rnacentral:rRNA from 1 species